GUGAAACCAAAGAGAGACCCCUGGCAACAGAAACAAAUGUUCAGACUGAAAGAAAUGAGAUGUGUGGACGAAUUUCUUCAGAUGCACUCCAGAUCCUGUGAGGUAUAUAAGUAACCUGAGUUUUAGAUGUAGUGUUGUGAAUACCAAAUAUUAUGGGAUAGCAUUAUAUUAAUUAAUCCUGUUGUGUUACCCUAGCCAUCAAGCAGUAGCUUGAGAAUGCCCACAUCUGUAUAAGCUGUAUAGGCCAGCAUGCUCAUGGCAAGUCAGUGUAAAUUAUCAGAGCUUGAACCAGGUAAUAGAGGGUGCCAGAUUGAUGGGACAUUCAUUUCUGAUGAUUCUGAUGAACAUUUCUUAAACCACAAUAUCAUGUGUUUACCAGGAGUAUGUUACAGAAAGCAUUAACACUCGCAGUGGACAGACAGCACAAUGAAUGGUAAUGAUUGUGACUAGUAUCUUCUGGCUAAAACUGUCUGUGCAAACAGACAAGCAUCACUGGCAGAAAUCCCAUCUACAAUCAUUGCAGGAGGUCCCACACAUUCAGCAUUAUUUCGGUUCUUUGCUUGUGAAUGUGCCUUGUUUUGUCUCUGUUAAAGGUUUCAGAUCUCCUGAGAGUCGGUGAAAUCUUGAUGCAGCAUGCAGCUUUUGUCUGUGAACCAAAGUCCAUGGAGUCUUUAUCUGUGACCUCAAAGCCCACUGCAAUGACUGAUUCCUUGAAUAUUUGGAGAAGUAUCUAUAACAUCCCACAUCUUUCUCAGGAAUCCAGUGCCAAAGUUGCCAACUUACCUGAAAAAGAAAAACAGAAACAUACUAAAAAGAAAAACAUCUGCUACAGUAGUUGUGCUCGGCUCCUUGGUUUGAAUGAAGAUAUUGAGGAUGGUUCUAAAGACCCUGCCGCAUCCAGAGGAGCGUAUGUGUCUCUCCUUUAUUUGCGCCAUCUCCGGAUCAGAGAGCUAAAGCGUACCUGUUUGAGCAUGCUGAACUAUCUGCGCUCUGUGGAGAAAAGGCUGGCUGUGGAUACUGCAGGACUUCAGGUGUUGGGGGGUGUACAGGAGAGUAGUGUGGAGGAAAGCACCUGGAUGAGUGCAGCUCGAGGAGGCCGUGGGUCUGCAGGAGGCCUUGGUUCACAUCACUACAUCUAUGACACCCCUGCUGAUUACAAGGUAGCAGACCAGCACGAUUCGCUGUGGGCAGAACAAGCAGACACUGGUUGCUUCAAAACAGGUGGUUCAGGGCACUGAUGUGGAAAUGAAUAAUUAAUUCGCCAGAGUUGCAAAAAAAUCUAAAAGGAAUACUCCAGUGUUUUUCAACUUCACAUGGUGAUAAAUGUGACGAAUAUCUUUGUACUACUAAAAACUUUAUGAUAAACUCCAG
rnacentral:lncRNA from 1 species